UAUACAUUAAAAGUUUUUACCAUAUUAUAUUGUGUAUAAAUAUUGUGAACUAUAAAUUAAUCUAUUAAUUUGUAUUUCAUACUUCAUAAAAGGGAUUAGAUGUAAAACGUUGCCAGUGUAAAGAAUUUAUUUGUUUAAUCCGGGAUAUCAUUUUUGACAUAAAAUCCACAUUUUUGACUAAUGUGAUACUCAAUAACUCGAAAAACAUUCGACAACCAAUACAAUAAAUCUUAUAAUAUUGAAAAUCGAUAUGUGUUAAUACUACGUAUCUCUUUUUGGGCAAAGAACAGUCUGAAAGACAGACUACCAUCCUCUUCAUAGGUGAUCGAUCUGAGCCAUACAAUCAACUUACAGCCAAAAUCAAACCAUAGGCAGCUCGUUCAAUAGUAGGUCUUCUAUCGUUGGCAAGUCGACGUAAUUCUAGGAAAAAUCCUGUACCUUCAUAAAUAAACAGUAACAUCUGUAGCAAAAAAAUAUGGAGAGUCAAAUAGUUAAGAAAAAGCAAUUAGUUCUAUUUACUUUGAUUUGUGUCUUCAUUAUCAACAACAACUGUUAGAAAAAUAUUAAAAUAAAAAUAACUAUACAGAUAAUUUACGUAUUUUAAUAACUAUGUUGAGUGCUAUCAGCAGACUAAGGGCACACAAGCAAUGCUUCUUCUUAAUUAAUUAUAAAACAAGCCAUCAGAUUUAUUUCUACAAACAUUAAUAUAUUCAUAAUUACCUUGUAUAUCAAGCGUAGGAAUACCUGUAACAAAAAAAAAAUAAUUGUACAGUUAAUGAAACCCAGUUUUUUAUGUUAUCAACGUAUUUUAAUGACUAUGUUCAGCGCUGUCAGCAGACUGAGGACACACAAGCAAUACUUGUCACAAUACUAGAUUAAAAACAAUAUUUUUCGUUCCCCAGCAUUCACCUAAUUAUGGUUAUGCACCACACUUUUAUUAAUAGAAGUAUGAAAAUUUCUAAUAGUCUAAUAGAUAUUGAUUUAUUUAAUGAUUUUCUAUUCAAUUUAUUUAAAAAUUAAUUCGCUUAAUACUUUACAUUUAUUUAGU